UCAACGUUCACAUAGGUGCUGACAAUAAGUUAAUGACUUCUAAUUCCAGACGCUGUGAUGAAGUGGAAGACGGGACUGGGAGAGAAAGCUGUGGAGCUCCUCAUAGCGGAGACACUCAAACACACCCCGGCAGCCCAUUCAAAACAAGCCAGGGCCAACAGACAGGACCUGUAGCGGGGACUGGCAGAAGAUUUUAAUUCACUGUUUGGCACUUUGUUUGAAAUAAAAUGACAAUG